rnacentral:rRNA from 1 species
GAUGAACGCUGGCGGCGUGCCUAAUACAUGCAAGUCGAGCGAACAGACGAGGAGCUUGCUCCUCUGACGUUAGCGGCGGACGGGUGAGUAACACGUGGAUAACCUACCUAUAAGACUGGGAUAACUUCGGGAAACCGGAGCUAAUACCGGAUAAUAUAUUGAACCGCAUGGUUCAAUAGUGAAAGACGGUUUUGCUGUCACUUAUAGCUGGAUCCGCGCCGCAUUAGCUAGUUGGUAAGGUAACGGCUUACCAAGGCGACGAUGCGUAGCCGACCUGAGAGGGUGAUCGGCCACACUGGAACUGAGACACGGUCCAGACUCCUACGGGAGGCAGCAGUGGGGAAUCUUCCGCAAUGGGCGAAAGCCUGACGGAGCAACGCCGCGUGAGUGAUGAAGGUCUUCGGAUCGUAAAACUCUGUUAUUAGGGAAGAACAAAUGUGUAAGUAACUAUGCACGUCUUGACGGUACCUAAUCAGAAAGCCACGGCUAACUACGUG